rnacentral:rRNA from 1 species
GACGAACGCUGGCGGCGUGCCUAAUACAUGCAAGUCGAGCGAGUCUGCCUUGAAGAUCGGAGUGCUUGCACUCUGUGAAACAAGAUACAGGCUAGCGGCGGACGGGUGAGUAACACGUGGGUAACCUGCCCAAGAGAUCGGGAUAACACCUGGAAACAGAUGCUAAUACCGGAUAACAACAGAUGAUGCCUAUCAACUGUUUAAAAGAUGGUUCUGCUAUCCCUCUUGGAUGGCCCUGCGGUGCAUUAGCUAGUUGGUAGGGUAACGGCCUACCAAGGCGAUGAUGCAUAGCCGAGUUGAGAGACUGAUCGGCCACAUUGGGACUGAGACACGGCCCAAACUCCUACGGGAGGCAGCAGUAGGGAAUCUUCCACAAUGGACGCAAGUCUGAUGGAGCAACGCCGCGUGAGUGAAGAAGGGUUUCGGCUCGUAAAGCUCUGUUGUUGGUGAAGAAGGACAGGGGUAGUAACUGACCUUUGUUUGACGGUAAUCAAUUAGAAAGUCACGGCUAACUAAGUG